UAGUCCACGCCGUAAACGAUGGUUACUAGCUGUUCGAUCUUCGGAUUGAGUGGCUAAGCGAAAGUGAUAAGUAACCCACCUGGGGAGUACGUUCGCAAGAAUGAAACUCAAAGGAAUUGACGGGGGCCCGCACAAGCGGUGGAGCAUGUGGUUUAAUUCGAUGGUACGCGAGGAACCUUACCAGGGCUUAAAUGUAGUGGGACAGGUGUGGGAAACACGCCCUUCUUCGGACUCAUUACAAGGUGCUGCAUGGUUGUCGUCAGCUCGUGCCGUGAGGUGUCAGGUUAAGUCCUAUAACGAGCGCAACCCCUGUUGUUAGUUGCCAACGAGUAAUGUCGGGAACUCUAACAAGACUGCCGGUGCAAACCGUGAGGAAGGUGGGGACGACGUCAAAUCAUCACGGCCCUUACGUCCUGGGCUACACACGUGCUACAAUGGCCGGUACAGAGGGCAGCCACUACGCGAGUAGGAGCGAAUCCUUAAAACCGGUCUCAGUUCGGAUCGGAGUCUGCAACUCGACU
rnacentral:rRNA from 1 species